ensembl:lncRNA
GAGCUGAGGAGGACGAGGGCUCAGCGAUUCAAAGACUGCAGACAAGGACUCUUCCUCCUGCCACACGUUCGCAGGGCUGGCCGGGCCCGAGGGGACGGAACCCGUCUCCGCCAGCCCAGCCCAGAAUGGCCCUGCUGUGGAAGGGGGCCGCCUGGUGAAGGACACCACCGCCUCCUUGAGAAGUGCUCGGGGUGGAGAGGGUUGGGCAGGAGAGGUCUAGCGUCUCCGAUUUCCUCCAGGGCCCAGGAAUCCAUCUGCCCGUCCGGAGCUCAGCAUCCCCGCCAGCGCCCUGCCCGGGAAACGCACCCAGGGGACAGCACCCGUGGGCUCAGGAGCAGGAGGCCUCUGCUACCUGGCUGUGACAGAGGACACCGAGCAGUGCCAGGAGGGAGCCCCACGGCCUCGCCAACAGAACGCUUGUCAUCAAUCAUGCCCCUCUGUAAGCAUUCAACGCCACCCUGGAAGCCACUGGACAAGCCACCAUUCCCACUUCCAGGGAGGAAACUGAGGCACAAGGAGGCAGUCACCGGCCCCGACCCACACAGGCUGGUGGGCUUACAUGGGUCAGUGCUGUGCUACAUCCCACGACUGCCCGCCCCCCACCCAGGGGCCACCUCCGUGGAGCGGCCAGAGGGUUCGGGUUCCAGUUCCUAAUAGACUUGGGCCACUUUUGUUCCCGCAGAUGUCCUGCCCUCAAGUAUCAACGUUGAAGUCCAUGACCCGGAAAAUGACACGAACGCUAACGCCCCAACCCCCGCAGCUCUGGGCCCUCCCUUCUGACUCUACCCCCAGGAGCUGGAGGCAGCUUCCAUCAGCACCAGCGUUGUCCAAGGGGGUCUCCGUGGGACCCUGCCUGAUGGGGGUCCCAGGGUCGUGUAAGUGUCAGGAACAAGGCGUGCUGGGCAUGGGGGCUGGUGGCCACGCUGGUCAGAGGCUCCGCAGGCCCUGCCACCGAGACACCAUGAGACCUGAACCUGGGCUCCCUCCCGAGACCCCUAACCACAGAGCCCUUUCCCAGGGACCUCAUUAACGUCUCACAGAGCUGGUGCUCCAGGAGCAGCUUCUGGAAGCCCUGGGCCAGCCAGAUGCCCCCCGCCCCGACCCCCCAGCACAGAGCUUCAGUGUUUGAGGUUUGGUGUGGCUCCACGCAGCAGAGCCCCCGAGUCAUCGAACAGCAUCCUCAGCUAAAGGGCGGAGAGCUCUUCAGCAGCGGGGAGAGUUCAGACCCCAUCCCCACCCUCCACUGCUGGGUGUUUCUCACGGGGUUCAGUGGCCAUUUAAGAGCUCGGGGCCCCCGCCACCAUCUCUCUCACCCGCAGGCCCUCAUAUGCUCCCUGCUUGCCGGCGCCAACUUCCCCGAAUACGGUGCCAGCCCACCACCCCUCACUAAACUGCCGCCUCGGCCCCCGACACCAGGAAGGAAAGUCUGAGUCAUUCACAGGCUUCACCUUCUAGUGACAGCCUCCCUUUCCCACUUCAGCUCCUAACAUGGAGGUCACACCUGCUUGUCCCCGACCCUCUUCCCCGGGACUCUCAGGACAUCCAGCUUCCCCCAGAGGCACCUCCCUGUCUGCUCUACUCCCCUCAUCAAAAUGGCCCGCGCCCAGGGCCAUCUCCUCCCAGCUCUGCAUCCUAAGCUGGUCUGAAGGGCUGAUUCAUACUAGAGUGGAAAUGGCUGAAAAGUGCAUUGCUGGGUGAAUUUUCCCUGGAAACACGUUACUAUUUACAUGGUACUCCUGGAAGUCACCCUUUAGCCAAAGGCAUGGAGUUUUAGAGCAGAGAGGCCCCUGGACUUGAAGUGGGAGCCACUGCCUGCUCCUGCUGCUCCUCUCCCUUCUCGAGGCCCAUAGCCAGACAGGGACAGGACCAGCCCCUCAGCGAGUUGGUGGCAGGGCUGGGUCAGGAUCCCAGAGGUCUGGCCUGCAGUACAGACCCCUCCCUUUCCCGACCCAGCUGAGAGCGGGAGGCUGAGAGCCCUCUGACCCCCGGAAGCAUCCCCGGGUCGUGGGAUUCCCAGAACCAGAGAGGGGUCCCACGGGAGGGGUCAGUGGGGAGUGGAUGUGCGGCCCUAUCACCAGGCGGGCAGGGGGGCCCUGGGCCUCCAAACAGCAGGCUAAUUGGCGCCUGGCGGAGCACGCUCUUAAACAGCGGCCCGGCUUCCCUGCCCUGCUCCGCGUGCUGACUCCACUCCCCAAAUGCAGACUGAUACAGCCCUUCCCUGCGGGGCCGCCCCGGAAGCCUCUGACCCGGGCCUCGCCCAGCCAGAAGGCAGCAUGGCGGCUGGGGCUGCAGGCCUGGGGGGAAUGUCCCCUGACCUCGGGGCCCAAGCAUCGCAGGGAAGCCAGCGGGAGACAGAUGCCAGCUCCAGAGGCUGGGGAGGUUAGAGCCGGCCGCAUAAACAGUGAUAGGGAACCGCGUCUGUGCCAGGACGCCGGGACGGGGACCCGAGCUCCCAGCAGAGCACAGCCCGCAGGAAUUGCCCAACCCAUCUGAAACAAGGGUUUCAGAUUCCAGCACCAGCCCCCCCCACCCACAGCUGUCAGGAGCCAGGCCUCCCUGCCUCCCCGAUUGCCUAAGGUGUGGGGACGACGACAGCAGAGCAGGGUGAAAAGGCCAGGCGUCCCUGGGCCCCCGCACACUCUCUUCUGUGGACAGGAUAUGAGGGGGACAGGAACAAGGCCUCAGUACAGCAGUGGCCCCGGGGACCCUUCUCCUCCCAGAACUGCCCUGUGGUAUCACCCGCUUGCCCCUGGGACACAGGGAAGAGCCAAGUCCACUCCUGCCUGCGAAGGAUGUGGGGCCUGGCGAUAUCUCCCACAACCCUUGCCCCCGCUGGCCCCCCACCUUUCUCAAAACGACCGGCUCUGGGGGAGCUGACGAGGCCUCCUCGCCCACUGCGGUCCGUCCCGGGACGGCCCCCCAGCUCAGCAGGACUCCCUCAGCCUCCCUGUCACACACAGGCUGACCCCCUCAUAGGCCAGCCCCUCCUGGGGCAGAAGGCAAAGCCGACCCCAUUCCUUUCACUGUCGUUUACCAAAUCUCUCCUUUUUUCUGCAGAACCUAAUUUUUUUUUCAUUCGCGCCCCAUUGACUAAGCACUGUAAAGCGCAAGGCGGUGGGCGCCGCCUCAUUCCCCUGGACCCCACUGCGAGGCAGACGUUGUCAUCCCGUCUACAGGUGAGAAGACGGGGCCCGAGGCAAGGAAGGGACACAGCCGGGACCACAACCCAGAGCCACAGGUUUUCUCCUCUAGUGUCCACACUCCUCCAUCCAAGCUUCGGCCUGCCCACCCCGCUCUGUCCAGCAGGGCAGCCCCUCGGCCCUGGAACCUCCUCUGCCCAGCGCAUCCCAGGGCCGCUCAGCCCCACCGGGCAGCAGACCGGGCACCGGCAAACAGCGCCCCCGCCAGACUGUGGGUCAUAUAGACCUGCCGUGGCCUGCGCCUCCCCGGGUCUCUGACCCCUUUUGGAAGUUAUGUCCCCACAGGGACUCAGGAGAGCCGUCUGUCCAGCCAUGGCUCCCUUUCCCACAGGCCUCUACGAGACUCGACCCCAGAGGAGGGCAUCUCCACUCCGGAGGGAUCCCCCAUUCCUCAUUCAUUCCCCUGGUGAGUUGCCCACCAUCUGAGGGCUCGGCCUCCCACCCCAUGGCGGGCCUGGCGCCCGGUGGUCAGCUGCACGGCUCACCAGCCAGGUGCCCUGGACACCCUUGGAGCCUUGGUUCUUGGCUAUAAAAUGGGAGAGGUGAUUUUACCCCCUGGAGAGCUGGCUAGAACGACACGUGUGUGACAGACACUGGGCACGUGGGCGUGCCAGCAUCCUCCCGAUCAAGGGGUCCCUCUUCCCUGGGACCCGGCCUGCCUUCCCCACCUGCUCACCCCUGCUGGGGCUGAGGCAUUGCCAUGGGCUCCCUCCCGAGUUCUUGGCAGGCACCUCGAUGACAUGCUGGUUUCUGGGCUGAACCUUCCAGCUCAAUCCAGCUCAUGAUCAUGGAACCCCAGGCAGGAAGCAGAACCUUCUGGAAGGCGCAGAGGUGACCCGCCCUGGCUGUGAACCUUGCUGUCCGGCUACGGCCGUGCUCAAGGAUGUGUCCAGGACCACUGACUGGCCGGUCCACAGCAGGACCUGUGUCAUCUGCCCAAAGCAACACGGCUAGUUAAAAGUUUUAUUGAUUGAACACAGUUGAGCAGGUGAGAGAUUCGGCUCUCCUCGCGGUAUCUUCUUUUCCAAACACAUGAUUUUCCUUGAAGUCAAAAAGAGCUUCCAUAAACAGCCGACCCACAGUUCACAGAGCACCCCAGCAGGCACGGUCCCCAGAGGGACUGCCGACACCCGGAGUCCAUCCAGGCCACGGCCACGGCCUGGGAUCAGCCCAAAACUGGUGGAGCCCAUUAAGGGUCACGACCUGGUAAUUUAUAAAGCACCCACUGUGUCCAUGGUCCACGGGGCCACAAAGGCCACCAGUUCGCUUCCUGGGAGGAGCUUACCUUUGGAAGCUAAAACUGUGACAGCUCUGCACCCAAGCAGGGGGCUCCGGGAAGAGGGGCCUUUCCAAAGGCUUCUGGGAGGAGGCGGAGAUGGCCCGGGGCUCCACAGACGGGGGAGAUUCAGAAGCUGGGUCCAAGUGACAGGAGAGCCCAGUGUCCUCGCUACACCACGUAGCAUGUCACCUGACCUCCGGGAGCCUCAGUUUCCUUUCAAAUGGGACUCACGUCAGUACCUCCCUCAGAGUCAGGGUCAGUGGGCUCUCCUCGCUGACCCACCCCCCGGGCCAGCCUCCUGGGCUCCUGCCCACCAGGGAAAAGGAAGAAACGAGGCCACGGGAACUUUGUCUCCUGCCACGUGGAAGCAGCCAGCCGUGGUGAGGCCACACACUGUCACACAGACUUCAGAUGCCAGAGAACCAAGAGGGCGUCCAGCAGGGUGAGGCCCUGUGGCCUGCUGCCUGGUGGGGUUCUGGGACUCCGGGAAACUGUGCUGCCACCGGCGCCCCAGGUUGGCCUCAGACCGGGCUGGCGGAGCCGCCCAGUGUUUGAAACCUCGCUUGACUGGCAAUAGCCGGCCUGCCAAGGAAUCUGCAGAUCUCCACAUUCAUGAAUGCCCUGUGGGGUGUGACCCCGUGAGACGCAGGCAGGGGUCACAGAGAAGCGCCUGCGAGCCCCCCUCCUGAUAAGCCACACGAGUGAAGGGGAGUGGUCCUCAGAGCACUGGGCUCUUCUUGGCUGGGCCGGCUGCUUCUUCCAAGGAGCAGCUUGCCUGGGGUCCAGAUGCCCAAGCCCCUGAUGAGGAUCCAGCCACGGAAUGACAGGGCUGGACAGUGGGCCCGGGCCCAUCGCUGGAGCCACACACUGGCCCCGGCGCCCAGUUCCCCACCAUAGCUGGAGCAAAAGGCAAAAGCCACCUCCCCAAUCUGUGUUGAGACUUCACGGACGGCAGAACAGUGCCGGGCUCUGCUCCCGCCCGCCAGCCUGUGCCACCUCCUCCGUCAGAGCGGGCUCCUCCAGCAUCCAUCCCUUUUCAGGCCACCUCCUAGAGACCAGCUGGCCACCCGUCUACAGCAGCCCACCUCGGCCCCUCGGGCAUCCCCUUGCGGCCUCCUCUCAAAGCGCUAAGCUGUCUCUAAGUUGGCCUGCUCUGUGAUCUGAUCCGUGUUCAUCUUCUGCCUCCGUGGGGCCUGACACGCUCCUGCUGCAUCUCCCGAGCCGAGAGCCCUGGAGGGAGGUCACUAUCUGCUGAAUGACGACUGAAUGUUGAAAAGGAAAAUGCUCUGUGACCAACACACCUGAGUUGAAUCCCAGCCCUGCUGCUGCCUUGUGACCGCGGGCCAGUUACUUAAUCUUUCUAGUCCAUAAAACAGAGAGAGUGAUGCCGAGGUCCCCAGGCCAGCGCCCUCUCCCCUCCUCUCUGCCUGCCCACAAUCCUCAGAAUGACAGGAUUGAUUCAAAGGCCUUGGUGCCACCGCCACCCCAAAGGCAAAAGCUGCAGUCGCUCUGCUCCCUCGGUGCCCGGGCGCUCUCAGGAGAGGCUCCGAUGUGUUGACACGAGGGCAUUGUGGGCACCAAAAUAAUCCGAUUGCACUUGGAGAGAGGGAGAGCGAGGGGGAGGGAUCAUCGAGCAUCAGACAGGCAGCUAUUCUCCAGGAGGCCAUUUCAUCGUUCUUUCUCAUAUUCCCGGUUUCUAAGAGAUCCCCUAAAUAAAGCAGUUGUAUUAUUUUGUGACUCAUAAAAUACACGUUAUAGUGAUAACAUAGCUAUAAUCAUAACUACACUGAUUGAACACAUACUACACACCGUAAAGCUCUCAAGGUGGGUCUUACUCUCCCACUUUGCAGCUGGUAAAACCGUGGCUCACAGCCAUGCUGCCCUGGCCACACCUCCCGGCCACGGGCCACGCUGGGUCCCACCCUCCCCGCUCCACGGCCUUUAAGGCCUUUCGGAUCCCAGGCAUUCGCGCUCAGCCCUCUUUCUUCGGGUCCGGGGUCACGCUGCUUUCCAUUUCCAAGCCUGGUUACUACAGAUGCAAAAUGAAAAAUGAGCCCAUAACCCAGUAAAUCUGAGCCACUCGGCGCGAAAUGCAAUAACGGCCGUGAGGGCCGGGCUGCGUUCCCAGCCAGACAGAUUAAGCAGCGCCACCGGGGAGCUGCCCGCUCCGGCUCUCGGCGACAUCGAAAGGGCACAGAAAGGUCUCACCCUGAAGGACAGAGAGGGUCGCACCCGGGCGAGGGCCGGGCGGGCGGGCAGCUCUGCUCCUCUGGCCCUUGGCCUCCAGGCUUCCCAGGGCUGCCCUGGGGCCCAUGGAGCACACACACGCCUGGAAAGUUCUGGCCCCAGGUGAGGACUCCGAGGACGAUGGAGCCACCCCCGUGUGUGAAAUGGGCACAAUCCCUCAGAUCUCGAAUGAUGACUUUCUGAGAGAAAACAACAAAGGUGACGAGACGUUUUGAAAGGAAUAUAUACUCAGUCAUGCACUGUAGCCAAGGGGACACGUUCUGAGAACUGCAUCGCCGGGCGAUUUCAUUGUUGUGGGAACACUAUACAGUGAGCACACACAAACCUCCUACGCACCUGGGCUUCAUGGGGCUAAUCCCACAGGACCACUGUCGUCCACGUGGUCCGGGGUUGAUGGCAUCAUCGUGAUGCAUUACAUGACUGUGAGAUGCAAGAGCAGGUCACUUUGCCUUACGGCCCUGCUGGCCCCUCCCGGGAAAGGGAUGCACAGAGGUGGCAAUGCCUGAGAUAGAAGGAUUUGCCACCACAACGCAGAGGUCCGCCUGCUGGACAAGGUUCUCCAUCCUGGCUAAAUGUGGCAGUCCCUGGGGAGGUUUGAAAACACUCACGCCCAGGUCUGACCCCAGAGACUGAGAUUUACUGGCCCGGCAUGGCCAGCCCAGAAUGCCGGCCUGGACCGCCUGCCUUGGGGAGAGCCCAUAGCCACCUGCCCAGCCACACCGGAGCCUGAGGUGCCCGGAAAGGAUAGUGAUACUGACCCUCUGUAUUCAAGAAUUGGGUAUUUUGUUCGUUGGGGAUUUUUGGCAUAAAUUUUGAUUUUUAAAAA